AAAAGUUCGAAAAAGAAAGAAAAAGCACGGGCUGAGGGAGAGAGAGACCGAGAGGAAGAGAGAAAAGGGAUUAAAGAAGAGAGUCUUGUGGGAUACCAAGAUUUAAGCUUAAAAUUGUGAAAAAUUCAUCUUAAGGUGAGCAAGUUGAGCAACAAGAAUAGAGAAAGUCUCAGAGUCUACCCGUGUCAGCCUUUGAAGAGCUUCUGGAAUGGAGCAAGUUAGGCUCGAUUAAAGUCAAGAAAAUCAGCCCCUUAGCUUUGUCAAAGUUUGUAAUUCGGAAUAUGACGAGAUGAAUGAUGAAAGUGCUAUAUGAAGGUUCCGCUUUCCUUUUAGUUAGCACCCGGUAAAGCGUGCCGCUUUGACGUAGUUCUGAAACCAAAGAGGUUGUAUACACACAGAGAGAGGAAGCUUAUAAAGAGAAGAAGCUUACAAAGAGAAGAAGCUUACAGAGAUGAAGCUUACAGUUUGAAAACCAGAGAGGUUUAGAUGGCUCAUGGUUUGGCUCAAGGAAAUGAAUGGCUUUAUUGCUUCUUUUUAAGUUAUUUUCAAAAUAUUACUAUUGCUUGAAAACUGCUUUGGAUGACUGUAAUACUUUAUUUUGGAUGGUUGUAUUAAGAUGUUUUAAAUUUUUUGAAUGUCUGUAAUACUUUAUUUUGAAUGGUUGUAUCAUAUGUAAUUUAUGGAUAUCAUAUGCCCUCAUAUGUUUAUAUGAGAUAAUUGUAUUAGAUUUUGUGAUUCAAUACAGGGUGGAAAAAGUG